CACGUAGGGCGCAAGCGUUGUCCGGAAUUAUUGGGCGUAAAGAGCUCGUAGGCGGUUUGUUGCGUCGGCUGUGAAAUCCCGAGGCUCAACCUCGGGUCUGCAGUCGAUACGAGCAAACUAGAGUGUUGCAGGGGAGACUGGAAUUCCUGGUGUAGCGGUGGAAUGCGCAGAUAUCAGGAGGAACACCGAUGGCGAAGGCAGGUCUCUGGGCCACUACUGACGCUGAGAAGCGAAAGCAUGGGGAGCGAACAGG
rnacentral:rRNA from 1 species